GCCCAGGUGGAGGAACUGGUAGACUUGCAUCCUUGAGGUGGAUGUGGUCAUUGCGACCGUGCGGGUUCAAGUCCCGCCCUGGGCACAA
rnacentral:tRNA from 1 species